CGCAGCCGCGGUAAUUCCAGCUCCAAUAGCGUAUAUUAAAGUUGUUGCAGUUAAAAAGCUCGUAGUUGAAUUUCGGGGUCAGCAGGUUGGUCGUGCCACUGGUAUGCACUGGCCUUGCUGAUUCCUCCCUCUUGAUGAACCGUAAUGCCAUUAAUUUGGUGUUGCGGGGAAUCAGGACUGUUACUUUGAAAAAAUUAGAGUGUUUAAAGCAGGCAAGCGCUUGAAUACAUUAGCAUGGAAUAAUGAAAUAGGACGUUUGAUCCUAUUUUGUUGGUUUCUAGGAUUGACGUAAUGAUUAAUAGGGAUAGUUGGGGGCAUUAGUAUUCAAUUGUCAGAGGUGAAAUUCUUGGAUUUAUUGAAGACUAACUACUGCGAAAGCAUUUGCCAAGGAUGUUUUCAUUAAUCAAGAACGAAAGUUAGGGGAUCGAAGACGAUCAGAUACCGUCGUAGUCUUAACCAUAAACUAUGCCGACUAGGGAUCGGAUGAUGUUGAUUUUUUAAUGACUCAUUC
rnacentral:rRNA from 1 species